UAACACAGUAAUAUCUAUUGCAGAAAAGAAAUGCUUUCCUCUACAACAAUUUUCAAAAAAAAAAAUCAGUUAUUAUUUUAUUUUAUUUUAUUGGAGGGAAGUCUCUGUGAGGUGGCGGGGAAGGGAACACACAAAAGACAUAUUUUCUCCAAAGAAGAUUUUGGGAAAAUCUUCUAUAUAUUAAACAAAUAAAAAACAAACUACCAAGAUUGAAGGGCAUAUAAGUGUUCUUGCUACAUGGAUGAAUUGUAUAAGGCUGAAAUCAGGGUUUUUACAGUGCCCAUCAUCAGGAUGUACCUCAUAGAUUAUAAAAGUUAAAAUCACUUUUCUAAGUGACCUUCACAUAAAGCAAGAAUUCUAUCACAAAAGCAUAACAGAAUUGAUGAUUUUAUCCUGGGAUGUCAAGUAAAAGAGUCAUCUUUGUACAGAACAUCUGAGUAAUCUCACAUGUGAAAGGACAAUGAAAGGGAGAAAGGUCAUUUGCACCGUGGCCAUGGACUAUGCAAUCUGGAAAACCCAGCAGGCUGCUGCUUGCCUUCAAUCCUUUUGAACCAUAUUCUUCUACAGGCAACGUAACAAUAAACUUCACAUAUUGAAGAAGGAGAGGACAUCACUAUUCAGUAAUCUUCAGA